rnacentral:rRNA from 1 species
GACGAACGCUGGCGGCGUGCUUAACACAUGCAAGUCGAACGGAAAGGCCCUGCUUUUGUGGGGUGCUCGAGUGGCGAACGGGUGAGUAACACGUGAGUAACCUGCCCUUGACUUUGGGAUAACUUCAGGAAACUGGGGCUAAUACCGGAUAGUAGCUCCUGCUGCAUGUAGGGUGUUGGAAAGUUUCGGCGGUUGGGGAUGGACUCGCGGCUUAUCAGCUUGUUGGUGGGGUAGUGGCUUACCAAGGCUUUGACGGGUAGCCGGCCUGAGAGGGUGACCGGCCAAAUUGGGACUGGGAAACGGGCCAGACUCCUACGGGAGGCAGCAGUGGGGAAUAUUGCAAAAUGGGCGGAAGCCUGAGGCAGCAACGCCGCGUGUGGGAUGACGGCUUUCGGGUUGUAAACCGCUUUCGCCUGUGACGAAGAGUGAGUGACGGUAAUGGGUAAAGAAGCACCGGCUAACUACGUG